rnacentral:SRP_RNA from 1 species
UCGUACAACCGGGGCGGUAGCGGUGCCCUGAACUUGCAACCCGCUAUAGCAAGGGUGAUGAUUGAUUUGAGGAUUAUUUUCAUUGUAGCAGCACUGUAGGAGCGGUGUUGAUGAUCAAGUCUUGUGCAAUAUGGUGGCUGUGAACCCGGUCAGGUGGGGAACCAAGCAGCCGUAAGCAGUUUUCUGUAUGUGACACAAGGGCGCUUGGUCUGAGUCGUUUCUAAAGAAAGCGUGCAGUGAAGGUGUUUCGAUUUUCAAUCGUACGG